rnacentral:rRNA from 1 species
UCCUCCCUCUGGCUUCGUGCUUAACACAUGCAAGUCGAACGGUGAAGCGCCUUCCUUUUUGGUGGGUGUAGAUGAGUGGCGAACGGGUGAGUAACACGUGAGUAACCUGCCCCCUUCUUCUGGAUAACCGCAUGAAAGUGUGGCUAAUACGGGAUAUUCUGGGUCUGUCGCAUGAUGGGUCUGGGAAAGAUAUUGUUUCGGUGGGGGAUGGGCUCGCGGCCUAUCAGCUUGUUGGUGGGGUGAUGGCCUACCAAGGCGGUGACGGGUAGCCGGCCUGAGAGGGUGGACGGUCACACUGGGACUGAGACACGGCCCAGACUCCUACGGGAGGCAGCAGUGGGGAAUAGUGCACAAUGGGAGCAAGCCUGAUGCAGCGACGCCGCGUGAGGGAUGGAGGCCUGCGGGUUGUGAACCUCUUUCGCCAGUGAAGCAGGCCUGCCUCGUUUGUGGGUGGGUUGACGGUAGCUGGAUAAGAAGCGCCGGCUAACUACGUG